AUUGAACGCUGGCGGCAUGCCUUACACAUGCAAGUCGAACGGUAACAGGUCUUCGGAUGCUGACGAGUGGCGAACGGGUGAGUAAUACAUCGGAACGUGCCUAGUAGUGGGGGAUAACUACUCGAAAGAGUGGCUAAUACCGCAUGAGAUCUACGGAUGAAAGCAGGGGAUCGCAAGACCUUGUGCUACUAGAGCGGCCGAUGGCUGAUUAGGUAGUUGGUGGGAUAAAAGCUUACCAAGCCGACGAUCUGUAGCUGGUCUGAGAGGACGAUCAGCCACACUGGGACUGAGACACGGCCCAGACUCCUACGGGAGGCAGCAGUGGGGAAUUUUGGACAAUGGGCGAAAGCCUGAUUCAGCAAUGCCGCGUGCAGGAUGAAGGCCUUCGGGUUGUAAACUGCUUUUGUACGGAACGAAAAGCCCUGGGUUAAUACCCUGGGGUCAUGACGGUACCGUAAGAAUAAGCACCGGCUAACUACGUGCCAGCCGCCGCAGUAA
rnacentral:rRNA from 1 species